rnacentral:rRNA from 1 species
GACGAACGCUGGCGGUGUGCUUCACACAUGCAAGUCGAACGGUAGCAAUACAGUGGCGGACGGGUGAGUAACACGUGGGAAUCUGCCUUUAGAUGGGGGAUAACUAGCCGAAAGGUUAGCUAAUACCGCAUAUGCCGAAAAGGUGAAAGGAGCAAUCCCGUCUGAAGAUGAGCCCGCGUCCGAUUAGCUAGUUGGUAAGGUAAAGGCUUACCAAGGCUGUGAUCGGUAGCUGGUCUGAGAGGAUGAUCAGCCACAAUAGGGAACUGAGACACGGCCCAUACUCCUACGGGAGGCAGCAGUGGGGAAUUUUACGCAAUGGGCGAAAGCCUGACGUAGCGACACCGCGUGGACGAAGAAGCCUUUUGGGGUGUAAAGUUCUGUCGGCAGGGACGAAAAAAAUGACGGUACCUGCAAAGGAAGCAAUCGGCUAACUACGUGCCAGCAGCCGCGGUAAU